GGAAAAAGGCCCCUAAAAAUCAUGGACCUGGACUCAGAUGUCACCAGCAACCACCACUAUACUACUCUUCCUAGGAACUAUCGUAGUGGCUCCAGAGACUAAGGUAACUGCAGAAAUGCUAUCUACCUGUGGCGAAUGUGGAUGGGGGCAGGCAGAGAUACAAAGGUUGGAUGAAGAGGAGAAGGAUUUGAUCAGUGAUCAGGCUUAGUGCCACUGGCAGCCUUUCUGGCUGAAGCCAACAGGUGUGAAACGGGUGGGAGAUUUAGGUACAGCUCUGGCUGCCUCUGUUAAGUUAGAGGUGUGGCAAGAUCUCUCCCUACCCCUGCAGGUUUUGCAGAACACUGCAGUGUUCACAGAUGCCACAGGAAGCAGGGUGCAGCCCUCAAGGGGGUUGGGAAAUGCUGGACUGGAAAGAGCUGAAGAGCUUUCCCUGCUACAAUACUUCUUAGAGCCUUUAAGAUGCUAAUGAGCACAGCGCAUCUCCAAGGGGGUGACAUGGGAUGUGUCCCCAGUUCAGUCACUACUGAACCUGCCAGGGGCUAGGGCAUCUUUAUGUGACCGGUGUGCAUGAAAGAGCCAACUUUGAGAAACACAGAUCUAAAUCACUGUGUGGGCUGGUGGGUAGAAUAUGGAGAAUCUUGGAGAAACCCAGUAUUGCCUUAUAGCUGAAUACUUCUGACUGUGUUACUUUAGCUUUAAGAUGGAAUUGACUUAGUCUGUAAUAUUCAAUUAGUGGAUUAUCAUUAAAGUCUCCUUCAGAUUUAACUUUAUGCACCACUGUGUU